rnacentral:rRNA from 1 species
UCGCUAGUAAUCGCGGAUCAGCACGCCGCGGUGAAUACGUUCCCGGGCCUUGUACACACCGCCCGUCCACACCAUGGAAGUCUGCAAUGCCCGAAGCCGGUGGCCUAACCACUUAUGUGGAAGGAGCCGUCUAAGGCAGGGCAGAUGACUGGGGUGAAGUCGUAACAAGGUACC